UGUCAUUAAUAUACCUUUAUCUUAAUCUGUGGACAAAGACUCUGAGACAGGCACAGAGAAUAAAUCCUCUUUUCAAGCCAGAACCUAUUGUUCAGUAUGAGUUUUGAUACAGAUAAGAAACAUGAUU